CCCGCUGCAACCUUUGGAGCAUCCGCUCGAACAAGGCGCGAGCCGAGUUCCCCACGUCUGCCUCGGUCUGUUCGCUCUCACGUCACGCGAUAAGCCCGUGUUUUUCCGUCCCUCGCGUCUGCUCCCCCCACCUUCCCAUCAUCACGCGGCGCUAACGAGUAGCGACGCGGACAGGGGUUGCGUGACACUACCGGCACUGCAGAAGCACGGGAGCCAUGGCGCGGGAGGAGGAAGGACCCGCAAUGAUGGACGCCGCGGAGCGACGCCUCCGCGUGGUCUCCGCGCACCUCGAGCCGCAGGCCGGCGCCACCGCUGGCCUCGCCUCUAACCCCACCGCCGGCGAGUACGCCCACGUGCAGGGCUACAGCGUUGUUCUUCCUGAAAAGUUGCAAACUGGAAAGUGGAACGUGUACCGAUCUGCAGAGUCACCUCUGCGUUUAAUUAACAGAUUUCCUGCUACUCCAGACAUUGGAACACUGCAUGAUAAUUUUGUGUAUGCAGUCGAGACUUUUACAGAUUGUAGGUAUCUGGGUACAAGAGUGUGCGCUGAUGGAGCAGUCGGAGACUACAAAUGGAUGACGUAUGGAGAAGCUAGUACGAGCAGAACUGCAAUAGGUUCUGGUCUUAUUUAUCAUGGAAUAUCUGAAGGUGCACGCAUUGGUCUGUAUUUUAUAAACAGACCUGAGUGGAUCAUAAUUGAUCAUGCUUGUGCUGCAUAUUCAUAUGUAUCUGUACCACUUUAUGAUACUCUUGGUCCAGAUGCAGUUCAGUUCAUUGUGAACCAUGCAACAGUAGAAACUAUUUUCUGUGUGCCUCAAACACUAAGCACUCUGCUAAGCUUCCUAACUCAAAUGCCAUGUGUCCGCCUUAUAGUGGUAGUUGGUGGAGACAAUGCAAAUACGCCAUCUACAACAGCAGCUGCUGGAGUGGAAAUCAUAACUUACUCCAGGCUACACAGCCAGGGAAAGAUGAGUUCUCAAACUUACCGUCCUCCAAAACCUGAAGAUGUUGCCACUAUCUGCUACACGAGUGGCACUACUGGCACACCAAAGGGAGCUGUUCUUUCUCAUGAGAACUUAAUCGCGAAUGUUGCAGGAUCAAGCUUGGGCGUUAAGUUUUACCCCUCCGACGUGUAUAUCUCAUACCUACCUUUAGCUCACAUCUAUGAGAGAGCUAACCAAAUUGCACUGCUUCACUAUGGAGUUGCCAUUGGAUUUUACCAAGGGGAUAAUUUGAAGCUGAUGGAUGAUUUGGCUGCUUUGAGACCAACCGUAUUCGCAAGUGUUCCCCGGCUAUAUAACAGAAUUUAUUCUGCAAUCACAAAUGCUGUGAAGGAUUCUGGUGGGCUAAAAGAAAGACUAUUCCGUACCGCGUACAAUGCCAAGAGGCAAGCUCUUAUGAAUGGACGAAAUCCUUCCCCAAUGUGGGAUAAGUUGGUAUUUAACAAAAUAAAAGCUAGGCUUGGUGGACGUGUGAGGCUUAUGACUUCAGGCGCUUCUCCAUUGUCAGCAGAUGUAAUGGAAUUCCUAAGAAUAUGCUUUGGUGGUGAGGUUCUUGAAGGCUAUGGAAUGACAGAGACAUCUUGUGUCAUCACUACAAUGGAUAUUGGUGACAAAUUAAUUGGUCAUGUUGGAUCACCAAAUCCUUCUUGUGAGGUUAAACUUGUGGAUGUCCCAGAAAUGAAUUACACUUGUGAGGAUCAACCAUAUCCUCGUGGAGAAAUAUGUGUUAGAGGACCUACAAUAUUCCGCGGUUACUAUAAAGACGAAGUCCAAACAAGGGAUGUCAUUGACAAUGAUCGCUGGUUGCACACUGGAGACAUAGGUUUGUGGCUGCCUGGAGGGCGUCUAAAAAUUAUAGAUAGGAAAAAGAACAUUUUCAAGUUGGCUCAAGGAGAAUACAUAGCUCCAGAGAAGAUUGAGAAUGUGUACGCUAAGUGCAAGUUCAUUGCUCAAUGCUUUAUAUAUGGUGAUAGUUUCAACUCUUUUCUAGUUGCCAUUGUAGCAGUUGAACCAGAUGUUUUGAAGGCUUGGGCCGCAUCUCAAGGAAUACAAAGUGAGGAUUUAAGACAGCUUUGUGCUGACCCGAGAGCAAAAGCUGCUGUCUUGGCUGACAUGGAUUCUAUUGGAAAGGAAGCACAGCUAAGAGGUUUUGAAUUUGCCAAAGCUGUUACUCUUGUUGCUGAACCUUUCACAGUAGAAAAUGGUCUCCUCACCCCAACGUUCAAGGUCAAAAGACCGCAAGCUAAGGCCUACUUCGUGAAAGAACUCGCAGAUAUGUAUGCACAACUGCGUGACGCCGAAUCAGCUAGGCAGAAGUUGUAAUUAUUCGAGAAAUGUUCAGGAGUAAGGUUCAAACCAAUACAGGACAGGUUCACACAAUGGAGUAAGGAUUUCUCAUUUGCUCUAUGAGCAGGAAUACCUUUCACCCGCCAACAGCAAGGAGUGGUGUUGGGUGUGGUUAUAUUUAUAAAGGAAUAAACCGAAGGCCCCAUUGUAGAAUUUCGUUCGUUAUUUUGGUAAAAGAAGUUAUACAAAAGACUGAAGAUAUACCUAUACAUGUAAGUUAUAGGAAAACAUUCUGUAACCAUGAUCAUGUUCAAAUAUGUAUGUUACACUAAGGCAAAAAUUGAGAAGAAAAUCGCUGGUGAGGUUUCAGCACUACUCUCAAUCACACGAGCGAAUUCAGGGAAGAACUAGGGGAAUUCGGAUUAGGGUUUGUGCCGCCAAGGUGGGCGAAACAAAGCCAGCUGGAACACGGCGGCCUAGGGUUUAGCCCUAUUACAAGUCUGCCUUCUCUUGCCUGAUCCCAGGCUUAUAAAUCAUUACAACUUACUGGAGGUAAAAACAGAAAGAAGAAAAGGUUGGUGCUUUUUCGGGAAAGCAAACAACAAGAUGAAGGCUACUAGCCGUCCAAUCUGAGAUCAACGUCGAGCGCGAGCUCCUUGCAUGAAGCGAUAAGCGAGUGUCCUUCGUUAGAUGGAGAUCUUGCGGCUUAAUUUGAAAUCCCUUGAACUGCUUGAGGGCCUAAGUAUUUAAUUGACUGGCAUGAAAAGUACUCCCUCCGUAAACUAAUAUAAAAGCGUUUAGAAUACUAAAGUAGUGAUCUAAACGCUCUUAUAUUAGUUUAUAGAGGAAGUAUCAUAUAACUUGUAGUUCUCGGGUAAUAGGAGUUUGUAAGAGGCAUGACCCACUUUUUGCAGAAUUCUGAAAGGGCC
rnacentral:rRNA from 1 species